rnacentral:lncRNA from 1 species
GUAGCUUGUGCUUCUUUACUGUCUCUGCUGCAUAUGAGUGUGGGAAACAGCAGCUAGAAGAAGUAGGCACCUGGGACUAGAAGCAUUUUCAGGCAUUGCUGUCACCACUAGCUGGCAAGACAUUGCCUUCUCUUCCAUCAAAUUCCUUUUGAAAACUGAUUUAUUUGUAUCAUCCCUUCUCUAGGUGUCUCCUUGCCCAUAUCUCUUGUGUUACAGAGGGU